GGGCCUAUCAAGAUAAUUGGCUG
rnacentral:siRNA from 1 species